rnacentral:rRNA from 1 species
UACGUAGGGGGCAAGCGUUGUCCGGAAUCAUUGGGCGUAAAGAGCUCGUAGGCGGAUUGUCGCGUCGGCCGUGAAAACUUGGGGCUUAACCCCAAGCCUGCGGUCGAUACGGGCAGACUUGAGUUCGGCAGGGGAGACUGGAAUUCCUGGUGUAGCGGUGAAAUGCGCAGAUAUCAGGAGGAACACCGGUGGCGAAGGCGGGUCUCUGGGCCGAUACUGACGCUGAGGAGCGAAAGCGUGGGGAGCGAACAGG